UGCCUUCCAGAACUGGGCAAAGUCCUUCAGCAUAAAUCCCCAACAUACAGCUCUGGGACAGCUGUGGCUGAGGUAGAGGACCAUGCCAAGAGGACGCUGCAUCAACCAAGACAACGUGCCUCAGCCUGAGUCACCCGUGGAGGCCGCAGCCUGUAGUCAGGCAGCAGGAGAAAAGUCUGCCUUCUCAGAACAUCUUAUUGGUGUCUCCACCCCAUCCAAGCAUCCCCGUGUUGAUGAAGAUGGUAAUGAAUACACAGAAACACUUGUUUGGCCCUAACCGGUUUGGCUCAGUGGAUAGAGUGUCGGCCUGUGGACUGAAAGGUCCCAGGUUGGAUUCCAGUCAAGGGCAUGUACCUUGGUUGUGGGCACACCCCCAAUAGGAGGUGUGCAGGAGGCAGCUGAUCGAUGUUUCUCUCCCAUCAAUGUUUCUGACUCUCUAUCCCUCUCCCUUCCUCUCUGUAAAAAAUCAAUAAAAUAUAUAUUUUUUAAAAAA